rnacentral:rRNA from 1 species
GUCCACGCCGUAAACGAUGGAUACUAGCUGUUGGAGGUAUCGACCCCUUCAGUAGCGAAGCUAACGCGUUAAGUAUCCCGCCUGUGGAAUACGGUAGCAAGACUAAAACAUAAAGGAAUUGACGGGGACCCGCACAAGCGGUGGAGCGUGUUCUUUAAUUCGACGAUAAACGUUGAACCUUACCAGGGUUUGACAUCCUUGGAAUUUCUGUGAAAGCAGAAAGUGCCUUCGGGAACCAAGUGACAGGUGAUGCAUGGCCGUCGU